ensembl:miRNA gmo-mir-27a-1 gmo-mir-27a-1
AGAGCUUAGCUCAUUAGUGAGCACCGAGGCAAACCCUUUUGUUCACAGUGGCUAAGUUCAGU